AUGUGUGUACCAAAGAAAAGGGGUGAUAUGGGGUUUAGAGAACUUCACAGCUUUAAUCUUGCUAUGUUAGCAAAGCAAUGUUGGCGUCUACUCCAAAACCCUGAUUCCCUGUGUGCAAGAGUUUUGAGCGCAAAAUAUUAUCCAAGUGGAGAUAUAUUGAAAGCUGGUCCAAAAAAGGGAGCUUCAUUUACUUGGCAAAGCAUUGUCGAAGGAAUAAAUACGUUCAAGAGAGGAUGCAUCUGGCGGGUAGGAUCUGGUUCACACAUCAAUCUAUGGGAUGACCCUUGGAUUCCCUCAAGUGCAAACAGGAAGUUGAUCACACCCAGAGGUGGCAUCAUGUUAACAAAAGUUCAGGAGAUAAUUGAUCCUCACACGGGACUGUGGGAUGAGGAUCUCAUUCGGCAAGUGUUUUCGCCUGUUGAUGCAAACAGAAUUUUACGGAUCCAUCUUAACGUUGAAGUGGUGGAGGACUUUUUUGCUUGGCAUCAUACAAGGUCGGGGACAUUCUCGGUGAGAUCGGCAUAUCACGUUGAAUUUGAAAACCAGUUUGGACGACACUUUAACCGGAAUAGCCAAGGAAGUGCAAAUGAUCAUGAGGUAUGGAAAGAGUUGUGGAAGUUAAGGUUACCAGGGAAAGUUAAACAUUUUGGAUGGAAAGUUUUGAAAGGAGUUUUGCCUUGCUAUGGGGUGCUGGCCAGCCGGCAUAUUCCAUUAAUGCCACAGUGCCCGAUUUGUAAUUGUGGAUUGGAGGACAUCCAACAUUUCCUGUUCACAUGCUCUCGAGCACAUGCAAUAUGGGAAAAGAUGGGGCUGUCG
rnacentral:rRNA from 1 species